UACGAAGGGGGCUAGCGUUGUUCGGAAUCACUGGGCGUAAAGGGCGCGUAGGCGGCCGAUCAAGUCGGGGGUGAAAGCCUGUGGCUCAACCACAGAAUUGCCUUCGAUACUGUUUGGCUUGAGACCGGAAGAGGUUAGUGGAACUGCGAGUGUAGAGGUGAAAAUUCGUAGAUAUUCGCAAGAACACCAGUGGCGAAGGCGGCUGACUGGUCCGGUUCUGACGCUG
rnacentral:rRNA from 1 species